rnacentral:rRNA from 1 species
CCUACGGGGGGCAGCAGUCGAGAAUCUUCCGCAAUGGACGAAAGUCUGACGGAGCGACGCCGCGUGGUUGAUGAAGUGCUUCGGCAUGUAAAAACCUUUUAUGAGGGAAAAAGUUUAUUGAUUGUACCUCAUGAAUAAGGGGUUGCUAAACUCGUGCCAGCAGCAGCGGUAAUACGAGUGCCCCAAGCGUUAUCCGGAAUUAUUGGGCGUAAAGGGUGCGUAGGUGGUGGUAUUAGUCUAGCGUUAAAUCCUUCGGCUUAACCGAAGAAUCGCGC